CUACGGGCGGCUGCAGUGAGGAAUAUUGCACAAUGGGGGGAACCCUGAUGCAGCAACGCCGCGUGGAGGAUGACGCAUUUCGGUGUGUAAACUCCUUCUAUAUGUCAAGAAAAUGACGGUAGCAUAUGAAUAAGCACCGGCUAACUCCGUGCCAGCAGCCGCGGUAAUACGGAGGGUGCAAGCGUUACUCGGAAUCACUGGGCGUAAAGGACGCGUAGGCGGGUUGGAAAGUCAGGUGUGAAAUCCUGCAGCUUAACUGUAGAACUGCACUUGAAACUUCUAAUCUAGAGUAUGGGAGGGGGAGAUGGAAUUAGUGGUGUAGGGGUAAUAUCCGUAGAUAUCACUAGGAAUACCUAAAGCGAAGGCGAUCUCCUGGAACAUUACUGACGCUAAGGCGUGAAAGCGUGGGGAGCAAACAGGAUUAGAUACCCCGGUAGUC
rnacentral:rRNA from 1 species